rnacentral:snRNA from 1 species
GUGCUUGCUUCGGCAGCACAUAUACUAAUAUUGGAAUGAUACAGAGAAGAUUAGCGUGGCCCCUGUGCAAGGAUGACAUGCAAAUUCACGAAGCCUUCCAUAUUUUU